GUUACGGUGUUCACCCAGGACCGAAUAAUGGACAGGGAACCAAAGGAAACGGUUAUGGUGCACACGCAGGAACAAAUAAUGGACAAGCAACCAAAGGAACCGGUUAUGGUGCACACGCAGGACAAGGCAAUGGAC